rnacentral:rRNA from 1 species
AGAGUUUGAUCAUGGCUCAGGAUGAACGCUGGCGGCGUGCCUAAUACAUGCAAGUCGAACGAGGCGCAGCAAUGCGCCGAGUGGCGAACGGGUGAGUAACACGUAGGUAACCUGCCCUUAAGUCUGGGAUACCCAGGGGAAACCUUGGCUAAUACCGGAUAUCGACGGAGAGGACAUCCCCUCCGCCAGAAAGUCGCGUUUGCGACGCUUUCGGAUGGACCUGCGGCACAUUAGCUAGUUGGCGGGGCAACGGCCCACCAAGGCGAGGAUGUGUAGCCGACCUGAGAGGGUGAACGGCCACAAUGGAACUGAGACACGGUCCAUACUCCUACGGGAGGCAGCAGUAGGGAGUUUUCGGCAAUGGGCGAAAGCCUGACCGAGCAACGCCGCGUGAGUGAGAAGGUCUUCGGAUUGUAAAGCUCUGUUACGAGGGACGAACGGUGGGGUCAGGAAAUGGGCCCCAAUUGACGGUACCUCGCCAGAAAGUGACGGCUAACUACGUGCCAGCAGCCGCGGUAAUACGUAGGUCACGAGCGUUAUCCGGAAUUAUUGGGCGUAAAGAGUGAGCAGGCGGCACUGUAAGUUGGAAGUGAAAGCGUGGGGCUUAACCCCAUACAGCUCCCAAAACUGCAGAGCUAGAGUGCGUGAGAGGUAAACGGAACUCCAUGUGUAGCGGUGAAAUGCGUAGAUAUAUGGAAGAACACCAGCGGCGAAGGCGGUUUACCAGCACGAUACUGACGCUCAGUCACGAAAGCGUGGGUAGCAAAUAGGAUUAGAUACCCUAGUAGUCCACGCCGUAAACGAUGAUGACUAACUAUUCCCGUGAGGGAGUGGUGAAGCUAACGCAUUAAGUCAUCCGCCUGGGGAGUACGGUCGCAAGACUGAAACUUAAAGGAAUUGACGGGACCCCGCACAAGUAGUGGAGCAUGUGGUUUAAUUCGACGCUACGCGGAAAACCUUACCAGGGCUUGACAUGGAGGCUAACAGCAUGGAGACAUGUGAAUAUACGCCUCACACAGGUGGUGCAUGGUUGUCGUCAGCUCGUGUCGUGAGAUGUUGGGUUAAGUCCCGCAACGAGCGCAACCCUUGUCGUCAGUUACCAUCAUUCAGUUGGGGACUCUGACGAGACUGCCGAUGUAAAUCGGAGGAAGGUGGGGAUGACGUCAAAUCAGCAUGCCCUUUAUGUCCUGGGCGACACACGUGCUACAAUGGCCGGUACAGAGAGAAGCGAUAUCGCGAGAUGGAGCAAAUCCCACAAAGCCGGUCUCAGUUCAGACAGGAGUCUGCAAUUCGACUCCUCGAAGGCGGAAUUACUAGUAAUCGCGGAUCAGAAUGCCGCGGUGAAUACGUUCCCGGGGUUUGUACACACCGCCCGUCAAACCAUGAGAGGUGGCAAUGCUUGAAGCCGCUGCGCUAACCCGCGAGGGGGGCAGGCGUCUAGGGCAGGGCCGCUGAUUGGGGUUAAGUCGUAACAAGGUAACC